rnacentral:rRNA from 1 species
CGGACGGGUGAGUAACGCGUGGAAAACCUGCCGUAUACUGGGGGAUAACACUUAGAAAUAGAUGCUAAUACCGCAUAAGCGCACAGCUUCGCAUGAAGCGGUGUGAAAAACUCUGGUGGUAUACGAUGGUUCCGCGUCUGAUUAGCUAGUUGGUGGGGUAAUGGCCUACCAAGGCAACGAUCAGUAGCCGGCCUGAGAGGGUGAACGGCCACAUUGGGACUGAGACACGGCCCAAACUCCUACGGAAGGCAGCAG